rnacentral:snoRNA from 1 species
GGCCUCCUGGUGCUUACCACAGGAUGUGUUUUUACACUGAAUAUAUAGAAAGAGGGGGCACAGCAAACCUGCCCCAUAUACACCCCAGCCCAGGCCACUGUGCCUAGUCUGUAUUGUGAAUAGGGAGACAUGA